GGGCGAUAGCUCAGCUGGUAGAGCGCCUCGUUCGCAUCGACGAGAUCAGGGUUCGACUCCAUUCAGCCCC
rnacentral:tRNA from 1 species